GGGUGCGACCAUAUCUGCCCUAAUGCACCGGAUCCCAUCAGAGCUCCGAAGUUAAGCGUGCUUGGGCGAGAGUAGUACUAAUUUGGUUGACCCCCUCGGAAGUCCUCGUGUUGCAACCC
rnacentral:rRNA from 1 species